CAAAAUACCUGCGCCGACCCCUCGGGGUUGUGCGCUUCUAUUUACACCCUUUGCCUAUGUGUACCCUUAUCGCUUCCUCGGCAGGCUCGCCUGCCGCCAGGAACCACCUAAACCCUUGCAUCUAUACAUGAAAACUUCUGAUACCAACCUAAAUUAUUA
rnacentral:misc_RNA from 1 species